rnacentral:misc_RNA from 1 species
AACGCACGAGACCUGCGGACCUGCGGAGGGAUCAUUAGCGAGUUGCAAAACUCCCAAACCAUUGUGAACCUACCUAUACCGUUCCUUCGGCGGGCGGCCCUGCGCCCUAACCUGCCGCCCCCCUCGCGGGGGCUGGCGGACCCGCCGGAGGCCCCCUGAACUCUUAGCUUUUUUUGGCACUUCUGAGUAUACUUUUUAAUAAGUCAAAACUUUUAGCAAUGGAUCUCUAGAUCGGAAGAG